AGCGCAUUAAGUCGUUAGGGUACAACCAGACAGGACGCACUUUCUCCGAGCUGCCGCCAUUCGCCUGCCUUGGCGUGUGUGUACCGUUAGUUCAGCUGUCCUGUGCAGAGAGGGAAAUUAGCGGGGAAGUCCCGACAUCGAAACGAAACCCAAUCAUAGUCAAAGUCAAAGUCAAAGCUAACCAAAUCGUAUAGACUUAAAAAACUUAUUGACUAGUGCGUGAAGAAACUUCCAAAAAAAAAAAACAAACAAACAAACAACAAAUUACUUUAUCUCCCUCUGUGGCAGCUCUCGCGCGUACAAGUGUGUGUCGCCGAUUGUUUGCAGCUGCAGCAAAUACAACGACAACAACAACAACAACAACAACAAUUGGUAGAAGCAACAACAACAAGAAAAUCAUCAAGAAGACCAACAACAUUCGUAGCAGCAACAUCAGCAAUCCAACAGCAACUUCUUGGACAGCAGAAACUCUCAACUUCAUUUCGACAAAAUUGCUGGUUAACAUCUUACAACUGAACGAAAACAACGAUACUAAACUGUACUAAGAAGGAUAAGGAUAACCAUCACCAGAAAAUCAACCAGAACAACAACAACAACAAGAACAACAACAACAACAACAACAACAACUGCUACCUAAGGUUUCUCAAACUCUAAAAAGAAAACAAAUAACUCAAAAACGAAAAUAAAAACCAUAUAAGCAAACCAGCAAAAAGUGCAAAUUAUGUAAAUUAUAGCAAAGGCGAAACGCAAAGGGGAAACCAUAAAGCAAACGAAAGAGAAUUAGUCAAAUAGAAGCGGCGGAAAAGCGAAAAGAAAAAAAUAUAUAAAAGAAAAUUCUGAAAAAAUAUCUGUGACCAGGCGAAAACCGGAAAUUAAAUCUGCAGAGCUGAACCAAAGUGGAAGAGGAAGAGGAAGCUGUGCCACAACCACAACCGCAGCAAAAUCGCAGAAGCGAGUAGACGGAAAACGCGUGCCAAAUAUUUGCUCCAAAAAAACCAGAAAUAAAAUAAUAAUCAAAGUCUCUGCUAGAAAGCGAG